rnacentral:tRNA from 2 species
UAUACCGGUUUUCAAGACCGGGGCUAUCAACCACUCAGCCAUCUCUCC